ACUUAGGUUGGUUCCCUAUCUUUGCAAUUGUGAAUUGUGCUGUAAUAAACAUGUGUGCAUGUGCUGUUUUGACAUAAUGACUUCUUUUGCCUUUGGGUAGAUACUCAGUAACUGCCAAACCUUUUGCAGUAGUCCCUUGUUAUCUUUCACUUUCAGUUACCCAAGGUCCGUGCUUUCAGUUACCCAAGGUCAACCAUCCCAGGAGUGAUUACGUUCUUACCAUCUCAUCUCACUAACUCUUCUAAGAUCACCCAGGGAAAGCCAGUGUGACAGUGGAAAGAAGGUACACUUGGGAUCAGGCAAAUCCGUGUGUUAGGAUCAGCCUUUCAAGGCUCAGUUCGACCACCUUUAUUUCCUCACCUGUGAAAUGGGCGAUUGAGCCCAGCCAUCCUGAACCAGGUGAGUUAGCUGGCAUUGGAUAGUACUGGCUUAGUGCAGCCCCUGCCUCAGUGGACCUGAAGGGGAUCUGGGCCAGCAGUACCAGCAUCACUGGAACUUGUUAGAAAUGCCGAUCUCACCCCAGCCCACUCCCACCCCUGAACGACUGACUCCAAAACUGAGAUGGGGCAGCACUUUGUGUUUUUACAAGCCCUCCUGGUGAUCCCUGGGUCAAGUUUGCAAAUCACUGAGGUACCUAUUUGACCACGCCAUCUAGUGGCAGACAGACCUAACAGAUCCUGCGUUCUAGAAAAUGGUUUGUUUCCAGUGCUGGAAUAUUCAGCUUGGAGGACUCCGAAAGACGCUCCCCUCAAGAAGCCUCUAAAUGCAUGAAGGCACAGACUCUGUCAUUCUUUCCACCCAGUGUAUUCCCAGCACCUAAGCACCGUGAGGAAUGAAGGGCAGAUAUUUAAUAAAUAUUUAUUGAAUGAAUGAAUGAGGACAAAUGAAUUAACUUGAAAAAAGGGGCACAUGUCCUAACUCCUAG
rnacentral:lncRNA from 1 species